rnacentral:rRNA from 1 species
GGGUCAGUAGGUUGGUCGUGCCACCGGUACGUACUGGUCUCACUGAUUCCUCCUUCCUGAAGAACCAUAAUGCCAUUAAUUUGAUGUUGCGGGGAAACAGGACUGUUACUUUGAAAAAAUUAGAGUGUUUAAAGCAAGCUAACGCUUGAAUACAUUAGCAUGGAAUAAUGAAAUAGGACGAUCGAUCCUAUUUUGUUGGUUUCUAGGAUUGACGUA